rnacentral:lncRNA from 1 species
UGUGGCUGGGGUGUGGAGGUGCAGGUGCUGGUGGCGUGGCCGGGGUGUGGAGGUGCAGGUGUUGGCAGCAUGGCCAGGGUGUGGAGACGCAGGUGCCGGCGGCGUGGCCGGGGUGUGGAGACAUAGGUGCCAGCGGUGUGGCUGGGGUGUGGAGGUGCAGGUGCUGGUGGUGUGGCCGGGGUGUGGAGGUGCAGGUGCCGAUGGCAUGGCUGGGGUGUGGAGACAUAGGUGCUGGUGGUGUGGCUGGGGUGUGGAGGUGCAGGUGCCGAUGGCAUGGCUGGGGUGUGGAGGUGCAGGUGCCGAUGGCAUGGCUGGGGUGUGGAGACAUAGGUGCUGGUGGUGUGGCCGGGGUGCGGAGGUGCAGGUGCCGAUGGCAUGGCUGGGGUGUGGAGACAUAGGUGCUGGUGGUGUGGCUGGGGUGUGGAGGUGCAGGUGCUGGUGGCGUGGCCGGGGUGUGGAGGUGCAGGUGCCGGCAGCAUGACCAGGGUGUGGAGACACAGGUGCCGGUGGUGUGGCUGGGGUGUGGAGGUGCAGGUGCUGGAGGCGUGGCUGGGGUGUGGAGUGUGGUGCUGAGCUGGGGUGGGAAGAGAGGCAUGGACCAGUCACCUGGGGAUCUGAGACUGCCCCACUGCCUGCUUGCAGAAGAAACACCUCUGUUUUCCCAUGCUUGCAGGAAAAACGUGAGCCCCUUCCCAAACGACCUUGCCUUUCUGUGAUUUCUGCUCUGGCUUCUCUGCAAAACCUCCCACUCUACUUACCUCCUCGUGCUCACUGAUGCCGCCCCUGCGUGAGACUCUUAUUGUUCCCAUUUA